rnacentral:rRNA from 1 species
UACGUAGGGAGCAAGCGUUGUCCGGAAUUACUGGGCGUAAAGGGUGCGUAGGCGGUUGAUUAAGUCAGAUGUGAAAUACCCGGGCUUAACCUGGGGGGUGCAUCUGAAACUGGUCGACUUGAGUGCAGGAGAGGAAAGCGGAAUUCCUAGUGUAGCGGUGAAAUGCGUAGAUAUUAGGAGGAACACCAGUGGCGAAGGCGGCUUUCUGGACUGUAACUGACGCUGAGGCACGAAAGCGUGGGGAGCAAACA